rnacentral:rRNA from 1 species
ACGGAAGGCAGCAGUGGGGAAUAUUGCACAAUGGGGGAAACCCUGAUGCAGCGACGCCGCGUGAGUGAAGAAGUUAUUCGUAAUGUAAAGCUCUAUCAGCAGGGAAGAAAAUGACGGUAUCUGACUAAGAAGCCCCGGCUAACUACGUGCCAGCAGCCGCGGUAAUACGUAGGGGGCAAGCGUUAUCCGGAUUUACUGGGUGUAAAGGGAGCGUAGACGGUCUGGCAAGUCUGAUGUGAAAGGCAGGGGCUCAACUCCUGGACUGCAUUGGAAACUGUCAGUCUUGAGUGUCGGAGAGGUAAGCGGAAUUCCUAGUGUAGCGGUGAAAUGCGUAGGUAUUAGGAGGAACACCAGUGGCGAAGGCGGCUUACUGGACGAUAACUGACGUUGAGGCUCGAAAGCGUGGGGAGCAAACAGGAUUAGAUACCCUGGUA